GGCUGGGGGUGAGUAGUAGGGAUGUAUAACAAUUUCGAAGGAUACAGGAUAUGGAGCAAAACUAGAAAUGUGCGAGUAAAAACAAAAAAUCAGCAUUUGACAAGAAAUUUUACACCUGCACCGUACAUUUAAAUACAUGUCACUUUGUUGAUUGUCUAAAAAUAAUCAUGAAAUCGACCGUUGAUUUGGUCCAUUCUUGACUGAUUCAACCUGAUACCAUUAUGCUGUUUUUCAUUCUGAAACCAUUUACGAUUCUGCUAUUUGAAACCCUCCUAUGAGCAAUAGGUGAAAGGUUUAGGCUUCACACCUCAACUUCAUUAGGGAUCAC
rnacentral:misc_RNA from 1 species